AAAUUGAAGAGUUUGAUCAUGGCUCAGAUUGAACGCUGGCGGCAGGCCUAACACAUGCAAGUCGAGCGGAAACGAGUUAUCUGAACCUUCGGGGAACGACAACGGCGUCGAGCGGCGGACGGGUGAGUAAUGCCUAGGAAAUUGCCCUGAUGUGGGGGAUAACCAUUGGAAACGAUGGCUAAUACCGCAUGAUGCCUACGGGCCAAAGAGGGGGACCUUCGGGCCUCUCGCGUCAGGAUAUGCCUAGGUGGGAUUAGCUAGUUGGUGAGGUAAGGGCUCACCAAGGCGACGAUCCCUAGCUGGUCUGAGAGGAUGAUCAGCCACACUGGAACUGAGACACGGUCCAGACUCCUACGGGAGGCAGCAGUGGGGAAUAUUGCACAAUGGGCGCAAGCCUGAUGCAGCCAUGCCGCGUGUGUGAAGAAGGCCUUCGGGUUGUAAAGCACUUUCAGUCGUGAGGAAGGUAGUGUAGUUAAUAGCUGCAUUAUUUGACGUUAGCGACAGAAGAAGCACCGGCUAACUCCGUGCCAGCAGCCGCGGUAAUACGGAGGGUGCGAGCGUUAAUCGGAAUUACUGGGCGUAAAGCGCAUGCAGGUGGUUUGUUAAGUCAGAUGUGAAAGCCCGGGGCUCAACCUCGGAAUAGCAUUUGAAACUGGCAGACUAGAGUACUGUAGAGGGGGGUAGAAUUUCAGGUGUAGCGGUGAAAUGCGUAGAGAUCUGAAGGAAUACCGGUGGCGAAGGCGGCCCCCUGGACAGAUACUGACACUCAGAUGCGAAAGCGUGGGGAGCAAACAGGAUUAGAUACCCUGGUAGUCCACGCCGUAAACGAUGUCUACUUGGAGGUUGUGGCCUUGAGCCGUGGCUUUCGGAGCUAACGCGUUAAGUAGACCGCCUGGGGAGUACGGUCGCAAGAUUAAAACUCAAAUGAAUUGACGGGGGCCCGCACAAGCGGUGGAGCAUGUGGUUUAAUUCGAUGCAACGCGAAGAACCUUACCUACUCUUGACAUCCAGAGAACUUUCCAGAGAUGGAUUGGUGCCUUCGGGAACUCUGAGACAGGUGCUGCAUGGCUGUCGUCAGCUCGUGUUGUGAAAUGUUGGGUUAAGUCCCGCAACGAGCGCAACCCUUAUCCUUGUUUGCCAGCGAGUAAUGUCGGGAACUCCAGGGAGACUGCCGGUGAUAAACCGGAGGAAGGUGGGGACGACGUCAAGUCAUCAUGGCCCUUACGAGUAGGGCUACACACGUGCUACAAUGGCGCAUACAGAGGGCGGCCAACUUGCGAAAGUGAGCGAAUCCCAAAAAGUGCGUCGUAGUCCGGAUUGGAGUCUGCAACUCGACUCCAUGAAGUCGGAAUCGCUAGUAAUCGUGGAUCAGAAUGCCACGGUGAAUACGUUCCCGGGCCUUGUACACACCGCCCGUCACACCAUGGGAGUGGGCUGCAAAAGAAGUAGGUAGUUUAACCUUCGGGGGGACGCUUACCACUUUGUGGUUCAUGACUGGGGUGAAGUCGUAACAAGGUAGCGCUAGGGGAACCUGGCGCU
rnacentral:rRNA from 1 species